AACGAACGCUGGCGGCAGGCCUAACACAUGCAAGUCGAGCGGACCUUUCGGGGUCAGCGGCGGACGGGUGAGUAACGCGUGGGAAUAUGCCCUUCUCUACGGAAUAGUCCUGGGAAACUGGGGGUAAUACCGUAUACGCCCUUUGGGGGAAGGAUUUAUCGGGGAAGGAUUAGCCCGCGUUGGAUUAGGUAGUUGGUGGGGUAAUGGCCUACCAAGCCGACGAUCCAUAGCUGGUUUGAGAGGAUGAUCAGCCACACUGGGACUGAGACACGGCCCAGACUCCUACGGGAGGCAGCAGUGGGGAAUCUUAGACAAUGGGGGCAACCCUGAUCUAGCCAUGCCGCGUGAGUGAUGAAGGCCUUAGGGUUGUAAAGCUCUUUCAGCUGGGAAGAUAAUGACGGUACCAGCAGAAGAAGCCCCGGCUAACUCCGUG
rnacentral:rRNA from 1 species